rnacentral:rRNA from 1 species
AUUGAACGCUGGCGGCAUGCCUAACACAUGCAAGUCGAGCGAGCGGCGGACGGGUGAGUAAUGUAUGGGGACUGCCUGAUAGAGGGGGAUAACUACUGGAAACGGUGGCUAAUACCGCAUACUAACGGAUAAGCCACAGGGGAUUCGCUAGGAGGUGGGGUAAAGGCUCACCUAGGCGACGAUCUAUAGAUGGUCUGAUAGGAUGAUCAGCAACACUGGGAUGGAGACACGGGCCAGACUCCUACGGAGGCAGCAGUGGGGAAUAUUGCGCAAUGGGCGAAAGCCUAAUGCAGCCAUGCCGCGUGUAUGAAGAAGGCCUUAGGGUUGUAAAGUACUUUCAGCGGGGAGGCGUUACCCGCAUAGGAAGCACCGGCUAACUCCGUGCCAGCCGCCGCGGUAAUUC